GCCGGGCAUGGUGGCGCAUGUCUGUAGUCCCAGCUAUUCGGGAGGCUGAGGCUGGAGGAUCGUUUGAACCCAGGAGUUCUGGGCUGCAGUGUGCUAUGCCGAUCAUGUGUCCACACUAAGUUUGGCAUCAAUAUGGUGACCUCCUGGGAGCGGGGGACCACCAGGUUGCCUAAGGAGGGGUGAACUGGCCCAGGUCAGAAAUGGAGGUCAAAACUGCCGUGCUGAUCAUUAGUGGGAUCACGCCUGUGAAUAGCCACUGCACUCCAGCCUGGGCAACAUAGCGAGACUCCGUCUCUA
ensembl:misc_RNA Metazoa_SRP Metazoan signal recognition particle RNA